rnacentral:misc_RNA from 1 species
GAUGAAGAACGUAGCGAAAUGCGAUAAGUAAUGUGAAUUGCAGAAUUCAGUGAAUCAUCGAAUCUUUGAACGCACAUUGCGCCCGCCAGUAUUCUGGCGGGCAUGCCUGUUCGAGCGUCAUUUCAACCAUCAAGCCCCAGGCUUGUGUUGGAGCCCUGCGGCUGCCGCAGCCUCCCAAAACCAGUGGCGGGCUCGCUAUCACACCGAGUGCAGUAGUUUACUCUUCGCUCAGGGCGUGUGGCGGGUGCUAGCCGUAAAACCCCCAACUUCUCAAGGUUGACCUCGGAUCAGGAAGGAAUACCCGCUGAACUUAAGCAUAUCAAUAAGCGGAGGA